GCCAUCUCCUGGCAGGGAGCUGGAGCUGGAUGGGCCUUCAGCUCCCAGCCCAAACUGUUCUGUGACUCUGUGAUGAUCCUAUGGUUCUAUGAUUCUAUGAGGAGGUGAAGAGUUGAAGUCUACCAAACCAAGCAGCCGUAGUCAGGGGAAGGACAGGUGCAAGGUUGGUUGUGGCACUGAUAGUGGACAUUGCCCACUUAAAACGAUGGUGGAAUUUUGGCUCAGAUUCACUCUUCUGUUCGGCCACAAGCUGCAUUAUUUGGGAACAAUAGUUUCUGUGACGUGGGGAUGGUGAUGCUUUCCCCUUUUCUUGUAAGUCUGUAGUUCGGGUGUUGAGAUUCUGAGGACAAAAGCUGCCUCCUGUGAGGCAUUUGUACACAAUGCAGUCUGACCAAGGCUGGAGUUUUGCAGGCUCCUAUAAUGCAGAGAAUAGCAGUUAAUAAGAAAAAAGGGAAGCGAUGCAGAAGAGAGCUCUGUUUGACAGCAUGGCUGUCUGCACUGCAGUCAUACUGGAUCUGUGGAAAGAUCAUUUGUGUAGGCACAUUUUUGCUUUGGGAACAGGGGCUUUUAUUACUACCCAGUCAGAAACAGGCAUAUCAGAUGGACUAUGUAUCCAAAGGAAACAGCAAGUGGUUUGCCUUAGAAGUGUACAAAGAGAAGCGGUGUGAUGAAAGACACACUGUGUGCACCCAAGAGCCCAGCCACUGGUUCACAAACAGCUUACGAGCAGGUGUGUGUUGCAUAAAUGGGCGACCAUUAAUUGCUUGUCCCUUUCCAGUAUAGGACAGUGAUUCCCAAAAUCCUAUGUGCAAAAUGUGCGGGAUCCAGACUGCCUGCCCUGUAAGGAAUGGGGCACCAUGCUCACCAUUCAGACUACAAGAAAACUUCUGUUUUCCAGUGUGGAAAUAGUUCUAACAUCACUUCAGGACUCAUAAGUUGAUGAAAUCUGACUUUGAUAAAAGUCUGAAUCCACAAAGUAAUGAAAACAAGGAGCUCUUUUCCCCUUCCUUUUCCUCUUCCCCUUCCUCCCUCCCUCCCUUCUUUCCUCCCUCCCCUCUUCCCUUCCUUUCCUUUCUUUUUAUUUUAAAUAUAAUAGUUCAGAUCACAAACAGGAGAAAGCAAGACUAAACUUAACUGUACCACUAUUGGUGCAUAAGUAAUAAUGACAUUAUACUUGAGAAUAAUUGAGACCUGAGGGGAAAAUAUGGGGGAGGGAGAGAUGUGAUAGGCAAAGAGACAGUGAAAAUAAUCUUGAAUAAGAUUGACAAGCAAUAACUUUUAAUUAUUUUAAAGGAGAAGUGAGAAAUGUCUUUAAAAUCAUUUUAAAAUAACAAAAAAAAAAGAAAGGUGGUUUAUACAGAUCAAUCUCAUCUGCCUUCUAAAAGCUAGGAAUUGGAACUGGUGAUUGCUGUGGCUUCCAGCAAAAGCCUGAUUUUGAAAAAGCAGAAUUAAUGUUCCUUCUCAGUUGUUAAUUUGAUUUUACUGCUGGUGAGCUGUCAAAAUGUACAACUGGUGCUCUGCAAAUCAGCUAUGCACCUACCAGAGAAUUGCAAGGGCUACCAGUACAUAAUGGAUAUAGCUAGGUCUGCUAGUAUAUGAGAGUCAGGUCCUACACAAGCUCUGCUCCUCAUGUCCACAGGAGACUUCAUUAAUUCACCUGCGGCCUCCAUGUCUCUGAGGUGAUCAGGUGGGGCUGAGGGACAUGCAGGUGUGGAGAUGCCUCCAGCAUCCCUUCCAUAGGGACCUGCAGAGGGAGGCAUGCCCAGCUGUGAAAGCAUUGCUGGAGGAAACCAGCAUCUGGGCUGGGGAUUUGCUGCAGACCAUGGCUAUUACCUACCCCUGCACCACAGCCUGCAGGUGUAUUGGUGCCUGACACAGCUGGUGUCUGUCAGGGUGAAUGAGAUGAAGCCACCAGCCCGUUUUUAAGAGAGGCUUCCUGCUGUUAAAUGGGGGAGGAUGGCAGUGCAGCUGGGUAGUGCUGCCUGAGCCCUGUCUCCUGACUGGAGGAGAUGCUCCCACUUGAUGCUGCUCACCUCCAGGCUCAGCUGACAGAGGCAAGCACAGCCUUUUGCCUUGAUGCUUGUUUGCUUUAUUGACCUUUAGCAUGACAGCAGUGCACCUGCUUACAGCAGGCCAGUGACAAAGAAGUGCUGUUAUUUAUGUCAGCUGUGAGUUGAAAUGAAUACUGUAAAAAGGCAGUCUUUUGGGCGUUAAUGCACUCAUCUCCAAAGCCUCUCUCCAUGUAACUCACACCCACCCCUUGAGCACCCUGACAGGCAAACCACAUGCUGCAGUACAGCAGCCCUCAGUGAGGUACCAGGGUAAGCACACAUUUCAGUGUCCUUUCCCCCGUGCUGUCCUGUGAGCUGGUGACAGCAACACAAAUGGAGGCGUUCUCAGGGCAGCCAGAGAGGUGAAAAAGAAAAAAGUGCAAGAAUGUACGUGACUCAACAGGCACCAGUUCCUUUUUCCUCCAUUGCUUGAUGCAUUUUGUGGAGACAGAUGUCAAGAAGACUACAAGGAACUGCUGUAGAGGAAAGGGAUUGACAAGGUGGUAAAUAUGGGAGAAAACACUGUAGGGACGUGUAAGUCUUGCAAUGUCUUCUGCACAGGAAGAGCCUGUGAAGACAGUGUUGAAGAAUACAGCAAAAUCAGAAAGCAGAGCCCCUGCAGGCUGAGCUGAAGAAGCAACCCAUGCAGGUGGGGAUGCAUUUAAACCUUAGGUGGACUGAAAGGAAAGGACUAUGUGACAGGGGAGUCACAGAACUUCUCAACAAAAGGAACUAUCGUCUAGGUAGCCCAAAUCUUGCCCUCUUAGUUGUAAAUUCUCCUUAGCAAGUACUGGUAGGAAAGGCUCAACAGAGCCUUUGGGCUCUGGUGAGCAAUGCAGCCAUCUCAGUCUGCUGGUGGUAGGCAGGCAGAAGCACACAGCCCAGCUAUGUGCAGGAGGGCUGGCUUGCAGCUCCAGGCAGUGCACACAUUGAUGGAUGGAGGAGCUGCCAGGAGGGUCUGUAGACUAAAUUAUGGUCUGUGCUUGUGAGACGGAAGCCUCCGAAGCACCAUAGUGGUGCUUUCUUGACUGUCAGUGUUAAUCAGUAAAUGGUGUGAAAAAUGCCAUGGGGAACAAAAGACAGGGGAAGCCCUUCACCUUUUAAGUCCCUGUUGAUAAUGGAUUUCAAGCUGUGCAGGAAUUUCAGAUGAUCCAAAAGUGCAGGCAAUGACCUGCUACAGAGCGGAGCAAAUUCCUUUUUUGUUUUCACUUCCACAAUUCUGUUACACCAGCUAAGUCCUCAAGGAGACUGGAGGCUGUCUUGACCUUCAGAUCUUUCAGUAGGACAGAAAUGGUGAGGAACAACAGAAGACUGUGGUUUGACUGGCAUAGAUGGAGAUUAAUUCACUUCUGUAAAAUGACUGGAAGGAUUGAUUAUCACACAAAACCAUCCUGUUUGCUUAGUUGUUUUCAAGCAGUCCAGCAGUUAGAUGACAAUUUAGGAUACCUCAUAAAUCUUUUCUAAUUUCUUUUUUUUUCUUUCUCCCCCUCCCCCCUUUUUAAUCCUGACUUCCACUGAAGCUUUCCUAAAGUAGUAGUCUCUUCCAGACUGAUUGUUAUUUUCUUUACUUUCUUCUUGCAUUACUCCCACAUACCUUGAGGCCACUUCUGAUCAGCGCUGGUUGUGGUGCAAGGGGCAGAGCUGAUAAAACACAACUCCUAGUGUCAUUCUCCAAACAUGAACACGGUAAUCCAGUGUAGACAGCGCCACUUGAUAACUAAACAAGCACUACCAACUUAGGCAGCUCCAGUAGGGUGCACAGAUGACAUUUCAGUUUCUGAAACCAAAGACUUUGUGUCCCUCAGCGUGUCUGGAUCUGACAUUUUUUUGUGCACAGAGCUGCUACAUAUAGCCAGUUCCAGCCUUUCCUCCAUGACAUAAAAGACAAGAGGAAGAGCAGUCUUAUUAAGAAGUUACUGACAUGGGGUAUGAUUAUUUCUUCAUGUUACAUGGGCCUGCAGAAGCAUUUUAGUUGUAACUGGACUGUACACACAGAAUCAAGAAGUAGAUUUCCCGUUUGGAUUUUGCCCUAUUUACAGUAGCUUGACAUGUUGAGUACAAAAGUACUCCUGGUGAAUACCUAGAAGUAAUCUUUUUGAUUGACAGACAACAUUGUUUAACUAGAGACAUUGUUAUACACAGAAUAAUUUUAGCCCCUGCACUAGAAGAAGUGUUCGAGUUCUUGAUUCAUUUCCUUACAAGACUUUAUGAGGACGUCCUUUGCAGUGUUCAGUCUCAGAAUCUAUGUAGUUAUCUCUGUACUCAAUUAAUCUCAAAAUCAUUACUCUUGCUGACAAAACUAAACUAGCAGUUCUUCUCUUUUUGCUUAGCUCCUGUGGGUCCCAUACUCCCAUAGGAAUGGAAAGAAAGCCAUAGACUUCUUCCUUGUACAUAGGAACAGGCUUUGUAUUUCUGUACAGGCAUGAGCUCCAAUCUUUUUCUAGUUAUGUGUUUUCAAACUCAAUUGCAGACAAAGCCCAGGCAUGCAAAUCUGUGACUCUCAAUUGGAAGGAAUAUAGCACAACAUAAUUCAUUGGAAGAUCUUUUGGAAGAGGAAUGUGGUAUUUCUUUGAAAAGUCUUUAAGCAAGCUGAUUUUAUACAUUCCCUCUCCAACACUCAUAGACUCAUAAACAUCAAAAUUUAGGUCUGCAUGGUCUGGACACAGAAGGCAAGGAAUGCUAGCUACCAUGUCCUCAUCUUUUUUUUUUGUGGCUGUUCGUGACAGGAGACAUCAAGCUACUUUAUGGUCAUUCUUUUUACAUCCCUUAGGAGACAUCUGUUAUUAUGAAGGAAUUCUUUGCCUUGAGUUUGUACUUACUUCACUUUUUAUGAAUGUUAUGUCACACUGCUGUCCACUGGUGUUUUUCCGUUGUGUAAAAUACGUUCUAAAUGUCUGUUACUGCUGGUGCAUGGACUGCAGUCUUCUACCACUGGGUUAUCCCAGUGGUUGUGACAAAAACAGUAACUUCCCUCAAUCUUGCUGUUUGGAGUGGUGUCUAGGGAGCUGUGCUUCUUCUGGUAGUCACGUAUACAUUGCUGUUCAUUCUUCAUUCAUACUUCCUCAUAUUUUUGUCACAAAUCUAUACAAGCAUGUAUUCUAUAUAAUCAAGUGGUACUAUUGUGCUCUGGUAUAUUUUAGUGGUGGGUACAGAUUUCAAACCUAAUUUUUAUUGGCCUCUGAGGGAAAGAACCUAGGGAAAACAUCUUCUUAGGUCUUUCCGAAACCUUGUUGAAGAUGGCUCCAUUAAAACUUUUACUGACCUUCACUGACAUGCUAAUUUCUUUCCAGAAUCUGUGAGAACCUCUUCCCUAAGAAGUAAAUAAAUACUGGAGAGAGAUGCUAAUCACAGGACAGGAUGGGAAACUAUCAGUGUUCUUGUGGCUGUAUCCAAAUGCAAGGAAAAGAAAAAAUUUUCAGAAAAAUACCCAUAUUUUUAGAGAUGGAAAAUGGCUAAAGUUCUCUCCUCAAAUUACCUGAGCCAAAAUUAGAUGUAGUUUUAGUCACACAAAAAUCAAUGAUGAGCUUGCUCUGCAUCAUGUUCUUCAGGAAAUUAUGUCAUACAGUGCACUAUGUCCCUUUUAAGAUGGAUCUAAUAGAUCUCUAGAAAAUGGACUUUUCAAAAAUAUGAAAUAGGCAAAUAUCAUUGGUGAGCACAAUUAUAUACUUACAGGCUGCAAGUAGGUCAGAAUUUUCAGGACUGGUAUUGACUUUCUUGUUCUUUCUCCUCUACUGCUAAACACCCAUCUGUAUUGCAGCUUUUAACCCAUCUUCCCACUCCAGUGGUUGUCAGCCAGUCAACUGGAAAGCAGGUCUGGAGAAGGGAAGGGGAAAGAAUGCGAUGCUUGUUCACAUUUAUCCUGCUUUUCAGUGAUUACAGCCUCAGUUGAUGCAGCUACUGCGCAUGUGGUUGUUUGGUUUUAAAAAAAAACUUGUUUCUAAUGAGAGCUAAAAUCUUUCUAUUUGGCUGCAAAAUAAACAGAUCAAGGUUUUUAACACUCCCAAAACUUUUCUUCAUCACACCAUAAUGAGAAAGAGUCAAUAAAAGACAUUUGAAUGAGAAGGGGUUAUUCUCUUCUUUUACUGUUCCAUGACAGAUAUUCCUGAGAUUCAGACUGUGAGCUGUAGUCUGUGCUGAUUUUCUGACAAUAUAACUGAAGAUCUAUGGGGCCUGCAGGAAAUCUGGGGUCAGUCAUGGUAUCUGGGUUCCUGUAUGAAAAGCCAUUAAGCAUCAUCAACAUACUCAUCUUUCCAAAUGAAGUUAUGAGAAUUCAUGUGGCAGAGCAUUCUCUUAAGAGUUCGUGGUUAACUUGAAGGAUUGAUGAUUCAAAAAAUGUCCAUUUUUAACAGUAACUAAACCUGUUCAAAACUCAUGUGCACGUGGCUAAGCUCUCCUCUGCUUGUCUCCUCACUGUAUUUUGGAAUUAAUUCUUCCCAAAAUUAUUCCCAAACUUCUCUUGAGUAGGAUUUAGUUGGCACCAGAAAAAAAAGGUGCCAGAUAAAGUCUUGAUGAUUAAACUUUGUGAAGAGACAUCCACCAGUCCUUCAGCCUUCUUUCUGUUCCUCUUCAGCUUACUUAUACAGUUCCAAAAAACACUCAACUUCCUAUACAUAUCAUGGAAAUAGAUUAGUCUGUUAAAUUAAAAGAUGCCAUCAGUUCCCUUGUAAAAGAAAAAAAAAAAAGAUAAAAUUUGAACUCAACCUCUGUUAAUAAUUAGAGUUCCGGAAAUAGGCGUGGGACAAUUACCAAGCCACUGGGGACCUAAUUCCUCAAUGGCUGUUUCUCCAUGCUAGAGAGAAUCUGCUGCCUAAUGAAGGGUAAACUUCAUUCCCUCAGUAAGUCUCAGUUAAAAGUCAGCCAGCCAGAACAAUCAAAUCCGCUGGAAAUCAGUCCCUGGGUUGUUCACAGAACUGAUGUUAUUAUUGUGUGUGUCCAGAUGAUUUGCAGAACAGACUCUGGUACUCUCUAUCCUCAAGAGGUUUGCAGAGGAUGGUGUGGGGAUGCUGGAAGUCAAAGGUGAGGCUUGCUUGGGCAUCUCAUCACUCAUGUUUUCCACUGUUCAUGCUGUGCCUUUUCAGACAGGGCUAUGCCGGGUGCCUGCCAGCUCUGCUUAACCAUGAAAAGUCCUGUGAGCCGCGAGGCAUCAGAGCGUGGCACUGUGCAACCCAAAUGACUCAGCCCUCCUCAUCUCACUGAUAAUUCCUGAUCACUGCUCUGGAUAUGAGCUCUGAAGGACCAACCUCAACCUUUGCUCCCAUUGCUUCAAACUGCUUCAUCACAGAUCGGAGAGAGCAUUUCACCCCACAUCAACUGCCUUACAUGUAAUGCAAAUGAUUGCUGAUUCCUUAUGAUGUGAACAAGAUUAUUCCAGGGCAAUUAGAUUUGUAGAGAACAAAACCAGUUUUCUACAGCAACUGGCAAUUUCUCAGUGUCCUCACGCAAAUUUUGGAUUGUACACUAUCAUGCUGUUUUUUACCUGGCCUAGAACCAGGAGGGCAGUAUCAUUACAUUGACUGCAAAUGACAUUAUAGGAAACAGGGACAACUCCAGUGUGACAAAUCAUCUCCAGAGCCAGAUAAGCAAAUAAGAGCUAUUUCAGCCUGUAGUAAUUUUAAUAAGAAAAAAAUUCACUGUAUUUUAUUCUACGUAACUUGAUAAUGUGUAUUGCUGCUCAGGACAACCUCUGAACUGUCCAUAUAUAGAUGAGAUCCUAUUAAAAGCCACAACAGACAUGAAGAUAUGCUGAGACGUAUACCAUAAAAUUCUGUUUAAAAAACAUACAAAGCAUGCCUAUUCUGAAAGAAAAGUUAUUUUAUCUGUGAAAAUUAAGACCAGAGAUUUAUCAACCUUGUUUUACUUGCAAGAGAGCUUCUGUUACUUUCACUUCAUCCUUCUGCUUGGAGAAACAGUCAGAGCAAAUUUUAUUAAUCCCAACACUUGAGAUAACUCCAUGGAUUGUAACAGAGUGGCUGGAGGGGAAAAAGAUGGAUUUGCAUUAUCAUAUCAAAUCCUCAUGUCAUGUGACGACUCCCUGCUCCUUCAAGAGAUGGGGGAUAGAAGAACUUUUCCUGAGAGGUGAAGCAUUUGUCAUCGACAGAUUUGCUCGGAAAGCUCUUGUGGAAACCACAAAGAAUAUGAAAGGAUGGGAGGCAUAUAACCUUGCUGAAGUGGCUCUGCCUCAGAGGAGACAAUACCAAACCUUAUGAUCAAGUGUUACGGGAAUGCUCUGAAAUAAAAUGUCAUGUGCUGUUGGAGACGACUAAGUUCUAGGAGAUCCACUGGCUGCCCUACAGUUAAACCUCACAGUUUUAGGCGGGAGUUAAAAAUAAUGGUUAUCUGAUGUGAGGGUGUUAUUUGAAAUGGGAGGCGCUGGGUUUCCUGAGCAGCUCAGAAAUGUGAGCCCAUUGUGGGUGUGAACAUCUCCCUGGAAGUGCAUAACGUAAAAUGUGAACAAUCUUCAACUGCAUCAAGGAGAAGGAGAGGGAGGAAGCAAAAAUGCCACCCUCACCUUUGAUUUUUGGCUUUAGACAUCUUCAUAGUAGAUCAUUCAGAUGCCUAGGGGAGCAUCAGAGACAAUAUCUAACCCAUGACAUUUUAUACAUUUUUUUCCUGUCUAACAAGACUUGCAAUGCUGUGUCAGCCAGGGAUUUCUCUAUUAUAAUGUGACAGUUUAGACUACAUACUGUGAAACAUAGGCUAAAAUUUCUUCUAUCUUGACACUUGCAGUGACAUGUUUUCAACUCGAGUUGUAAUUAAAGACUAAGUUGGUUUCAUUUUUAAACAGCAGGUUUAACCAUACAAUGUAUGUCAGAAGAUAUAACUUGCGAGAGCAGUAAAGUAAACCGGAAUUGACGCAUUUCAAGUGGUGCGAAAUGUUAAAGAAUUCUUAAAAGGUAAAGAGUGCAUACUUAGGUGGCUGGUGGUGUUUGAGAUAACGUGCUCCUAAAGUGUUGAAAAAGACAUUAGUUUUGAUUCUUUACUAAGAGGAACAGACCAAAGCGUGCUGUGCGUACCACAGCAUCUGUUGCAGAUGGGUUCAGACUUGGGUUGUGGCCCUGGUGUAGUGUGCUGAAUCUCUUCUUACCCUUGGUAUAUCAGAUAUCAUGCUUACUUGUAUAUGGGUAGCCUGUUGGAGUGAAUUCAGGAGAACAUCUAAGAGGAGAACACAGAGGGGCAUGAGUCAUUAGGGUACGCAUGUUUCUGAGUUUGUUUUUCUCCAACUUCAGAAAGAAUUUGGCUGUUCCAUUAAAAAAAAAAAACCACAAAAACAAUGUGUUUCAUUUUAAGAUUGAUUAUUUUUCUUGUAAAUUACUGGUAUGUGUAUACAGCCUGAUCCACUGUUUUGUUAAUGGAGAUAGCUGUCCUGGACCACACUGAAUUACUGAAUAUGGUUCACUUGCUGUUUUCACUGCAUUUUUUCUAUACAGGAACCUACUUAAGACAAGUCCUCUAAUAGUUGCUCCGAUUUUCUCUCACUUCUGCUGAUGUUCUCCAUAUCCACUUGCUCCUUUUAAAAGGAUUCAUUCAGUUCUGCUAAUCUUUCCAAGUUGCAUUACAUUUUUUCUUUCUAGACAUGUCAAAGCUAUCAUAACCUGCAAUUUAUUUAUUCCUCCAGGUAGCUUUGCAUGGCACAGAUCAUGUCAAAGGGCUCCAGAAACUUUUACAAUUAACAGUUGUAGCUGCUUAGCAAGUGGCUAUCAUUAGUAGCCUCUGUGUUCGGCUUACUUAAUUGGUUACAGCCAAUCACCAGUGGGUUGUUGUUCUCUGUGCAAUUUGUCAUGGAGUCAAAUAAGCUUUUCCCUGACCCAUUUAAAAGUCUAAUGUGGACUGUUGUGCUUAAUUGAUUAAUAGCUGCCUGGUGUUAAGGCACUAAUUGGAAGCAGGCCGUUGGUGCUGGACUGAUGAGCAGAGUUUUCUGUAGGGAUGGGUAGCCCAGGGUCAGUGUAACUCACUUCACAGAUGAGUCAGAGCAGGACACUCAGUAUAAUGUGUGGGGACACCAAGGGAAGAGACAUCUUUUCACCAUGAAACAUCUAGAUUUUAUGAUAAAGCCGAUAACUUUGUUGUCCCCUGCCUUUACCAUAAACAUGGCUGUAAAACAGCUCAUUAAAAUGUGCUGUGACAGGAGCCCUAUUAUUUCCUGAGCAGAUCAGAAGGAUUGGACACUCCAGACCUAGGCAGGGAGUAUAGGAAAAGGAGAGCAAUGCUUCUGUGCUGUGCUCCUCUGUGCCUAAGACAGCUUGUCAGACAAGGGGAUGUCAUUUUCCUCUCUAAUAUCUUCUGAGCCUCAUCAGAAAUUUCUCUGCUGGCUUGAGAAGGCUGCUAGGACCACAUAAGCCUCUUCCCAACAAUGGCUAUUGGGCCUCCCAGAUGUAUUUCUUGCAGGCAGCCUGAAAUUGAAGUUGAAAUUGCUUUAAGAGGAUGAUGUGCUUGCCUGAAGAUGCCCAGUUCCAGUUUGCUCAUUUGGAUUGCUGAACAAGCCUUAUUCCAUCCUCUGAAACACUGAUUUCUUCACAAAGCUGAAUGUUUACUGGUUUGAGUUUAACCUAGUAUUUAGUGUGUAAACCUAGAAAAGCACUUCCUCAUGCCAGAAAAUUGUUGUGUAGCUUUCUGGUGAGACUGUGAUCUGGAAGCCUUUUGCUAGGGAGCGCUGUUCGAUAGUAAUACCAAAUGCAAUUUAUAGAAGGCAGGUAAAUCUUUAAUGAACAGCAUUUGUGUGCUGAACAUAUGUUGAAAUGAAUGCAUAAUUGAAAAAGAUUUGUUUAUGAAGGUUCACCUGAGAUUUGAACAGUAGCAAUUUAAACUGAACAUUGCUAUUCUCGAUGCGUGCCCAUUUGUCAAGUUUUUCUAAACACGGACUGAGAACAGCAAGUGAAGCUUGCUAUGCUAGUACAAUACUUUUGCACUAACCUGCACUGGAAAUGAUCAAUAUUUAAAGCAAAGUGAAACUAAUUAUUCUCCCUCUAGGCACUGAAAUCAAUUUUUUUUGCAAAUCCUACUAGAGUGAAAAAAAAAGAAGGUGACAUUGUUUUCUGCACAUUUCCCUCUCAUUCACAUUAAUGCUAUGAGAAGAUUGGACUCAAAUAAUUGCAACAGACCUAUUAUGUAUCAUGCUGUAGCAUGUAGCAGUCGGAAAGAUCAACACCUUGGAAAAGGUGAUACAAAUGAGCUGUAAUGACAGAAGGACCAGCACGAUAAAAAGGUGCUAUAAAGGAAGGGAAGAAGACUGCUCACCCAUCUCUGAAGAUCUAGUUUUGCAUUUCCUGCUGAAGGAGGCUCAGUACUUGACCGGAAAGACAGAAACAUUGCUGUUUCACAUGAGAUGGUUUCCCAAAUAGCAGACUGUUAACAUGUAUGUAGCCUCUUCAAUUUGUUUUUGUAUUUUCUUUCAUCUUAUUUAUGCGUUAUCUGCCUUCAACUGUUCAUUGCAAAGGUGAUUUUUACAUUGUGCCCUGGAUGCAAUCCAACAAUGUAUGCAAACUAUCUGUGAAGCAAAUGAUGAUAUUUAAAACUAAUUAUCAAACCAAUUAGCCAAAUGAAACAUAAAUCCUUCUGGAGAUUGAAGUCAUGGUAUUGAUUGUGGCUAAAUUCUCCUUUAUCACCCAUUUAGAUAGAAAAAAAACUAAAAUAGUUUGCUGGAAGCAUUCAUUAAGUCUGUUUUAGUCUCACUUUGGAGCAGUUUUGAGUGCUGAAUCUAAGCUGGGAUCAGCACUUUCCGUGCUCACACUUAAAGUGCUGUAUGUAUAUCAUUUAAGCAUCUGGGUUUCUGGAGUUAUUCUCUAGCAGGAUAGCUGCCUCUUCAUGUAAUGACACUUGCCUAUAUUUUCCCAAGAGGUAUUUUGCAGACACAUUUACUGAUAACUCUAAAUCUGUCCUUUAUGAAUUAAUUAAAAUGGUGUUUGUGUUUCCUUCUCCCUCAAGGAAGAAUGUAAAUGAACCGUACUAUGCUUAGAGCAUUACCAUUGAGUUGUCUUGAAAAUCUCUGUUCAAGAAUGUGAAUAUAGUAAGCACUGUUCAGGUAAAGAAACAGAAUAUAUUUGUAAUUCUUUUACCACUAAAUAUACAAUGCAAGUUUAAAAGAGCCAAUCAGAAAUCUCCCAGUGUAACAGAAAACAGUAAAAUGUAAGAGAGAAAGUGCAUCACAUUUCUCUGUAGAAAUGUGUGUAUUUCAAUGCUAGGCUACAUAGUUAGGCACAGCAAAAAUCAGGAAAUCUGAAAAAAAAAUUUCCUUUUUUUGCCCAAAGUAUGGACUUUUGAGAUCUUAAUUUCUGUGCAUCUUCCAGACACUUAGAGCUCAAUUAAAAUGAAAUGGAUGACAAUUUAUUGAAAGAGGCGGAAGCAUUGCCAUUCUUAGUCCAGGGUUAUAGAGAGUAUUCUUCUCUUACCAGAUGCAGCACAGUGAUUUCAGAAGCCUGGUAGCAUUGAUACUGGGACUGCACCAACCGUUUGUGGAUUUGUAGAUAUGCUGUCAAUCAGUAUCAAGUGAUCAGUAAUAUAAGCCUUGGCAACUGCAGCCUCUUGUCAUCUGGUGUGCUCAAACACUUCAUCUGAGGAUGGGUGUACUCUGGGUUUUAAAGAGGGAGAAAAUGAGGCAGCGAGGUAGGAGACUGUUUUCCAAGUAAAAUGGGAUAGUUCAAGUUGCCAUUCGCUUGUCCUGAGGGAACAAGCAUCAGGAGGUCUUGCUGGUGCAUGGCAGCUGCCAGCCUUUCAGAAGUUCUGAGGUUGAUAACGUUUGAAUGUCAGCAGGCACAUUUAAACAUUUAGGCAAGGAUGCCCUACCUAGAUGCAGCAGCAAUUUACUGGUAAAACAUGAUUCUCUUGUUUCUCAGAGUAUUUAUUAUGCAAUUGUCCAAAAAAGAAAGGAAAAAAAAGAAGAAAUGCACUCAUGUUUCUCCUCUCAUUAUUAUUUCUAAAAUCAGUUGCUUUUAAAAGUCUGAAUAUCUGUAUGACAGGCUGACCCAAAUUCACUGCUUUUUUUGGAGCUGCUUUGCUGGAACAAGAUGAACAAAUGUCAAUUCUCAUUUUCUGUUUUUAUGGGAAUAGACCAGAGUGAACGUAUUUCUACCAAUAAGAUAAGGAAGGCACUGUGAAAUGUUACAUGCAAAUUAGGCUGAGAUGAUGUUUCUAUCGGGGGAAAUAAAAGCUCUUUCCUGAAAUUCCCUCAUCAUUCCUUUCAUUUUCUGCAGAUAAGCUGUAUGUAAAGCUGUCAGGCUGAUAAUUAGGCAAAUUAUAGGGACCUUCUCAUAAGAAAACUAACACAAUUUCCAGAGAGAAUUUCAAAUGAAGAUGCCCACAAGGAAGGCAGAAGUCUGAGCUUGUUUUCCUUUAUUGAGACUGAUUCACAAAUACCCAGGUUUUCCCCUGUCUCCUCUUCACUUCAGCAAGAGGAUUUAGAGGAGGCCUUUGUUGCAAUCAAUAGGUCUCUGAACAACACUUGGCAUCCUGAAAGUAGCAUAUUUUAAUGCAAUUUCAUUUCUUUGAAAAUGUUCCUGCUAGCUCUGGCAAAAUUGUGCAAGCUGUCCGCACGUUGCAUGAUUUUCAUGUGAAGUCAUGAACCAGUGAAGGUUUAUUCCAAAAUCAGCAUGGAUUUGUGAAGCUUUCAGAAAUCUUUCCCAAGAGAGAGUUUGUGGGGAAAGCCAAUUAUAAACUAGGUUGCAUAAUUUGUCACAAAGUCUCCAUAUAGAGUUCUACAGAGAAAUAAAAGAAUUCCUUGCUUGUCAGGGCAUGGCAUGAUGCUAUGAAAGUGUGUGAUGAUCAGCCUUUGUUCUUUUAAGAGAAACAAAUAACGUUCAUUAAACAGAGAAGAGUGUGCUCAGGAAAGGUAAAUAUAAUUAUCUAAAUAGAUUGGAGCCACUGCUCAAAGUAAUCAGCGGAAAAGUUUUGGGAAAGUAUAGUCAGUGGUAAAACAGAUGGUAAUACGCUGCAUGCAUUCAACUAUUUUUGUGUUGAGAAUUGUGUUGUCAUAAGAUGCUUACAUUUCUGACAGGCAUUUUGCUCACUCCUGAAUGGUACCUGUGUAAAAAAAUUAGCAUUUUUCAAAAUCAAUAGAAGCAGUUCAUUAAAAGAUAAAGGAAGUUAAUCAUACUGGCACAUCAUCCAGCUGGCUAUUUCUGGUUGAGGUCUCUGGCUGAGGUUCACAGUCCAUAGUUAUUACUUUUUAAUCAGUGGUGUGGAAGAAGAUAUUGUCAAGGCAUGCAGGCUGGGCAGCAUUUACCUGGAAAAAACCAAAUGAACAGAUCCUGAGAGACUAUGGGACGUGACUUAAGAAACUGCUGGAUGUGAGAGAGCGCACCAAGAAACUGAAGGAAGAUGCAGAUGGUGCCGUAAAGGAGUGGCUGGACUUCACAAGAAUAAAAACCUGCCAAAGCUGACACCCUGAGGAGAAACACCCAUCCCUCAGUCCUACUGUACUCAUGAAAAGACAAUGAAUUUAGGUAGGUAAACCAUUUCACUCACCUCAUCUACUUUUCUUACCCUCUUUACAAACAAUUCCCCAAAUCCUAAUUUCGUUUCUGCGAGUACUUCUGCUGAUUCUUUUCAGACUGUUAAUCUCUGGCUGAUAUGUCUGUGCCUUUCUUCCACAGCCUCAUAUUCUGGAACAGAACCCGAAAAUUAAAAGAUUAUCUGUUCCCAAACACUGGUCCCUGAUCAGGCUGGAAGCGUCUUUGUUGUUGAGUGGCAGAUUGCCAUUUGUGCUUAUUAUGUUGCAAUUAAAUCUCUUGAGAGUGAUUAUGGAAAGUUGGAAACCAUUUCAUAAUAAAACGGCUUGGAGCCAUUGCUGGAGGCAAAGUAUAUUCUCCUGUAUCUAUUCAUGAUAUCGAGCACAACAUGUAUAAAAUAAUCUGGCAAGGAGCAGCACAGCCAAUUUAAAGCAGAAAUGAUUCAUGCUGUUUUUAAAGUUAAUCUUCCAACAAAAUAUCUAGCGACAGGAUGUAUUCUCCCUUUUCCCAUUGAUUGAAGGGGUUAAUCUCAGACCUGUCUGCAAAGCGUGUUGUGGUUCAUAUGAAAGCUGCGGACUAGUGGCAGGGAUCAGUGCAUGAAACAGCAAUAUCCAGAGGUUAAAUUAGAUAGAGAAGUGUUCAUCUCCCCUUUAACCUGUUGUAAAUUCCCACAUUUCACCAAACUAGAGAGAUUUCUGUUUAUAUUGAUCAUUUGUGUUUUGAAGAUUGGUCUCAUAACCCCCACCAUUAGUGACCAUGUUUACAUUUCUGAUGGAGUAUAAAGCAAUGUGACCAUGACCUUACAUAGAAUUUUCAUUAUUAAGACACUCUGUCUGGUGAUCCAUGUAUAUAAUGAAGUAGAGUCUAAUAUCCACCCACAGCAGGGAGAAACUUUGUAUUUUUAUAUCUGCACUGCUGCAAGGAUAGGACACCUCCACACCAACCCUUUAAUUCAGUUAUCUUAAAAGCCAAAUAGCAAGGCACUCUAGGAACAGCAACCCUGUAAGCUUAUGAUGGUAAAGUGCAACUUUUCACAUCACAGCUGUACUACUCUCUCUUGAUACUUUUAUCUAUUCAGCGGCUGAAGAAUCUCACUGCUUUACCACGCGUGUUUUAGGAACCACUCUGAUGUCCUGGAAAUCUUGAUCAGCAAUAACCUGCCAUUGUUACUGGUUUACCUCCUCGCCUUUCAUGUGUGCCUGGGACUGGGAACCCCCCUGUGCUCUGCAGUGGCAUUAGGGGAGGCUGGAAACCUUUGUUUUUCCAAAACCAGAAACUCAUUCUGCUGUUAUCACACGGCUCCAAGAACUGAAGCUUUACAAAAGGCUCCAGAGUGAUAAUACCGUAAAGCCCAAAGAGCUACCUCAGUGCAGGCUGUGGUGAAGCAGCGCAGCUGAGCAAUACAGGUGACAGGCUGCACGUGUCUGUCUGUGAAGUCAUGCCCCGAGGACUUUCCUCAUGCUUCAUUUCUCUCAGGGAGAGGAUUAUGGGCUUUGGAGUUUCGUACUGCGCUUGGUGGGUGUGUAUGACUUUUUUUUUAUUUUUUUUUUCUUCCUUUGGGAUAAGCUGCUGCAAAAUCCUGCAGUGCCUCUGCGGGAGCCCCAGGUGUGCGUGCGGAAGCAGUGGGUGCCCCCUGUGACACCAGCACAGCUACCUCUCUCUGGAAACAUGCAGCAUCCCUCUGAAGCUGGGCAGGUCUGUCUGUCAGCGUGACUCAUCUCACCUUGCGGAUGCUUCUGAAUUAAGGGAGCUUUUGAAAGCAUUCCCCCAAGGAGAGAGCAGCUGCUGUCAGAAAAGCCAGGCGGGGACUUCUAGACACCUCCUCAGGCAAAGAAUCCUCCAAGGGACACAAGAGCCUGGUGCCCUUCCCAGGCUGGAGGAGAGCUGUGCCAGGCUGGCAAGCCUAGCAGUGUAAAGAUAGGUUAAUUCCACCCUCAGCCUCCCUUACCAGAUGCCACUGAGAAAUGCUUCUGCGCUGGUUUAGAUGUGGGAAGUCUUUUCUUUCUGCUCUUGCUGGGGGCUUCAGCUCUGAAUUUUGCUUUGGUUUCCAAAGUCAAAAUUAAUUGAGAGUUCACUUGGUUUUGUGAUGGAACACAAGGGAUCAGACCGAUCUGCGGGUUUUGGCACAAGAGCAAUAAAACCACGCCAGGUUUCCCUGGGCAGAGAAGUACUUUUCCUUUGUUUUGUUUCAUCUGGUAAAUUUUCAUCAUGUAAUAAAGUGGGAGCCCAGGAAAGCCUUGGAUUUAUUCAUGUCUUUUAACUCAUCUUACUUAGCUCAAAUUUUACUACUGGUCUAAUGUGAAACUGCUGUCUCUGAAUUUUUCCUCUUGGUUUAUGGUUCAACUGCUGAUGCACGAGCCAAAAUAAAAUAUGAUCCCCUUUCCAUAUGUAUGAUGACACUGCAGUAAUGACAUAACUCAACGAUAAUAAACCAAACCAAACAAAACUUCUUAUUGCUGCUAAGAAAGUUCUGUGAUAAAAUUUCAGCUAAAGGUAAAGGAUUUCACAUCCACAUAAAUAACUUUUCAAGGGCAGAAAUGGAUUUUAAAGCCAUUCAUCUCAGAAGAGAAAUGCUUUCAGUUCCUCUGAACAUUGCUUUGCUCAAUGAUGUUUUGCAGUCUGUAGGAUUUGUUUAAGCACUAAUCUGUCAAAUACAGAGGGAGCUAAGAUCGCUGAUCUGAGUCAUUUGUGGAGAGGAGACAGCCCUUCCACCUUAAGCAAAUCUAUGAUCGCACUGAAGGAAUUGUUUGCAUCAGAGCCACCAAGUGGGAGGUUGAAGCCAAGUGUGCUGUCUGGGUUCAGAUAUACGGAAACCAUCAGAAAAAUCUUGCGGAGUGUGAUGCAGAUACAUCAAGGUCCUGUCUGCAGGUGUGCCUGCACCUGGCUUGGGAUGAUUCCUCAGCUCUAGGUGCUUGGAUGUGGUGGAGUUCCCGAGGGACUGCUCUGGGCACGUGCCUGGUCCUCAUUCCUCCCUGGGCUGCUGGCUCAGACACACCAGAGACAGGAUCCCACAAUGGGUGAACAUACAGCCUGCAAUGCAGGGCUGCUCUGAUGUUACUUAGGUGCAAUUUUUUUCUGUGCUGUUAUCUACUGGCGUUAUUAAGCUCUCUUGUUAUAUGUAAUAAGAUAAAAAAACCUUUCCUACUAAUGUAAGCUUCUAGUGAAUCCUCCUCAAAUAAAUGUUGUGUUUUGU